rnacentral:rRNA from 1 species
AUUGAACGCUGGCGGCAGGCCUAACACAUGCAAGUCGAACGGUAACAGGAAGCAGCUUGCUGCUUCGCUGACGAGUGGCGGACGGGUGAGUAAUGUCUGGGAAGCUGCCUGAUGGAGGGGGAUAACUACUGGAAACGGUAGCUAAUACCGCAUAAUGUCGCAAGACCAAAGAGGGGGACCUUCGGGCCUCUUGCCAUCGGAUGUGCCCAGAUGGGAUUAGCUUGUUGGUGGGGUAACGGCUCACCAAGGCGACGAUCCCUAGCUGGUCUGAGAGGAUGACCAGCCACCCUGGAACCGGGACACGGUCCAGACUCCUACGGGAGGCAGCAGUGGGGAAUAUUGCACCAUGGGCGCAAGCCUGAUGCAGCCAUGCCGCGUGUAUGAAGAAGGCCUUCGGGUUGUAAAGUACUUUCAGCGGGGAGGAAGGGAGUAAAGUUAAUACCUUUGCUCAUUGACGUUACCCGCAGAAGAAGCACCGGCUAACUCCGUG